UACGUAGGUGGCGAGCGUUUGUCCGGAUUUAUUGGGCGUAAAGAGCGUGUAGGCGGCCAGGUAGGUCUGCUGUGAAAACUCGAGGCUCAACCUCGAGAUGUCGGCGGAAACCAUCUGGCUAGAGUCCGGAAGAGGAGAGUGGAAUUCCUGGUGUAGCGGUGAAAUGCGCAGAUAUCCGGAGGAACACCAGAGGCGAAGGCGGCACCCUGGCCUAAUACUGACACUGAGACGCGAAAGCAUGGGGAGCGAACGGG
rnacentral:rRNA from 1 species